GACGAACCGUGCGAACGUUGUUCGGAAUCACUGGGCUUAAAGGGCGCGUAGGCGGGCAGUCAAGUCUGUGGUGAAAUCCUCCGGCUCAACCGGAGAAUAGCUGGAGAUACUGACUGUCUCGAGGGGGUAGGGCAUGUGGAACUUCCGGUGGAGCGGUGAAAUGCGUAGAUAUCGGAAGGAACGCCGGUGGCGAAAGCGACGUGCCUGGACCCUUCUGACGCUGAGGCGCGAAAGCCAGGGAGCAACGGG
rnacentral:rRNA from 1 species